CCUACGGGUGGCAGCAGUGAGGAAUAUUGGUCAAUGGACGAGAGUCUGAACCAGCCAAGUAGCGUGAAGGAUGACUGCCCUAUGGGUUGUAAACUUCUUUUAUAUGGGAAUAAAACGUUCCACGUGUGGGAUUUUGUAUGUACCAUAUGAAUAAGGAUCGGCUAAAUCCGUGCCAGCAGCCGCGGUAAUACGGAGGAUCCGAGCGUUAUCCGGAUUUAUUGGGUUUAAAGGGAGCGUAGGUGGAUUGUUAAGUCAGUUGUGAAAGUUUGCGGCUCAACCGUAAAAUUGCAGUUGAAACUGGCAGUCUUGAGUACAGUAGAGGUGGGCGGAAUGCGUGGUGUAGCGGUGAAAUGCUUAGAUAUCACGAAGAACUCCGAUUGCGAAGGCAGUUCACUGGACUGCAACUGACACUGAGGCUCGAAAGUGUGGGUAUCAAACAGGAUUAGAUACCCUUGUAGUC
rnacentral:rRNA from 1 species